rnacentral:rRNA from 1 species
CCUAAGGUGGGACAGAUGAUUGGGGUGAAGUCGUAACAAGGUAGCCGUAUCGGAAGGUGCGGCUGGAUCACCUCCUUUCUAAGGA